AGCCCUCGGGGGAGGGACAGGACAUAUCACCACACACGACCGUCUAAAACUCCUCUGCUUUUUGACUUGUUUCUUAUUUCCUCCCUACAGCCUCCCCCUCUUCCUGAAUUCUCCUUCCUGUGCCUUCUACAGAGAAGUAUCUCCACUCAGUAUUCCAAAGACCUGAAUAAGCAAAGGAUGGGCCGUAGGAUGGUGGGGGGUGGGGGGGUGGGGGUUGGAAAUUCAUUCCAAUUUCUGUUUUCACCUUGACACACUGAUAAUCGUACCUUUGCCUCCAUGCCACAGGUCCCAGCGCUGUUGACGGAGCUUCUGCAAAUGCCAGAGGAAGCAACAGACCCCUCUCUCCCUCUCCUUCUCCCUCUCUCUGGCCUCUCCAGCAGCCUGGUGGAAGGUCAAGGGGCACCAGGGAGCUCCCUCUGCAGCAGCUGUUCACGCAGAGCCCGAGGAUCCCUCUCCUGUCCCACCUCAUCCAUGUCAAGGUGACGCUCCUCAAAUCCCUCCCGUCCGUUGCAAGAGGCUCAGUAGGAAAACCAGGGCAGGAACACCAGCCCUACAGCCUGCCUCGCGCUUCAGCCCCCUGGCAUACCAGGAUACCAGGACAAACUGGCCAUUCCCAGCAGUGUUCAGAGUCACUUAAUUCCUUGCAUCUGUUUUCUGAUUUUUCAGAGAAUAAUCUCACCUUAUUUUACACAAUUUUAUUUUUAUUACUUUUAUAUUUACAGGUCCUUAAGCUAAGUUUUAUGUCAGAAAAUCUUAAAUAUUAUUUAAUAUUUAAUCUUAAAUAUUAUCUAUGGUUUACCUUAUUGGGUAAACCAUAUUUACCUUAUUGGGUAAACAUAUAUUACCUUAUUGGGUAAUUAUUCUUUGACUUCAUCCACUCUGAUUAUCCUUAUCAACUCAUUUAAAAUUUUUGUUUAUCGGGCAUCCAGGGUGGCUCAGCAGUUUAACGCCGCCUUCAGCCCAGGGCCUGAUCCUGGAGACCCGGGAUCGAGUCCCACGUCAGGCUCCUUGCAUGGAGCCCGUUUCUCCCUUUGCCUGGGUCUCUGCCUCUCUCUCUGUGUCUCUCAUGAAUAAAUAAAUAAAAAUAUUUUAAAAAUAAAUAAAU
rnacentral:lncRNA from 12 species